AUUGAACGCUGGCGGCAGGCCUAACACAUGUAAGUCGAACGAGUGGCGGACGGGUGAGUAAUGUCUGGGAAACUGCCUGAUGGAGGGGGAUAACUACUGGAAACGGUAGCUAAUACCGCAUACCAUCAGAUGUGCCCAGAUGGGAUUAGCUAGUUGGUGGGGUAACGGCUCACCAAGGCGACGAUCCCUAGCUGGCCUGAGAGGAUGACCAGCCACCCUGGAACUUAGCCACGGUCCCGCCUCCUACUGGAGGCCGCAGUGGGGAUUAUUGCACAAUGGGCGCAAGCCUGAUGCAGCCCUGCCGCGUGUAUGAAGAAGGCCUUCGGGUUGUAACGUACUUUCAGCGGGGAGGCGUUACCCGCAGAAGAAUCACCGGCUAACUCCGUGCCAGCAGCCGCGGUAAUAC
rnacentral:rRNA from 1 species